AAGUAAAGAAGUAAAAAAAUUUACAUUUAGUUUCGACCUAAAAUUUUGAUAAUAUCCAUACU
rnacentral:tRNA from 1 species